rnacentral:lncRNA from 1 species
UUUUAGUUGUUCAUUGAUUGGUUGUUGUUGUGGUGAAUUAUUUGGUUUGUCAGUGGUUAGAAGAUUUUGAGGUUAUGGAAAGAACCAAAGAUCUUUCACCUAGGAAAGUUGUUGUUACUAAAGCAUUGCAUGAAGAAAAAACGUAAUCACAUUGAGAAAUAGCUUCAAGACUACAAUUUUUUACAAAAAUCAGUAAGCCGUAUUAGCCAGGCUAUUAAGAAUGGGUAAAAUAACAUUUCUGCACGACAAGGAAAUUGUGGACGCAAGUCCAAAGUGAGCCUGAGAACCAAACUUAUCCAAAUGGCUAAAGUAAAUAGAAGAACCACUAGUGACUUGAAAAAUUCCUUCGAGAAGUAUGGUGUUGAUAUUUGCAGUUCUACGAUUAGAAGAAGGCUUAUUAAUGUCUUCCAGCACGUCAGCCAAGAAAGAAAGCCAAAAUAACAAUGGCAAUCACUAAAAAAAGGGUUAACUGGGCCCUAGAGGUUAAAUCUCGCUUUGGGAGUGAUUGGAGUAAGAUCCACUUCUCUGAUGAAUCCAUGUUUUCAAUAUGCGAUGAAAGCAGUCAAUAUGUGAGGAGAUCUUCAAACAAAGAGUUUUCUGAGACUUGUGUUGCUCAGACUGUGAAGCAUCCUACUACAGUUAUGGUGUGAAGCAUCAUCUCAGCCAAAGGCAUAGGGCGUUUAUAUAUUGUUGAAGGCACAAUGAAUCAACACCAGUAUUAGAAAGUUUUGGAAACAAAACCUCUUCCCCAUUUGAGAGGCUGGUUUUCUGAUGAAGACUGUGUUUUUUUUGUUUUUGCAAUUUGAUAAAAUUGCAAAAAAAAAAAAUAA